GCCUAAUACAUGMAGUCGAGCGAACCGACGGGAGCUUGCUCCUUAGGUUAGCGGCGGACGGGUGAGUAACACGUGGGUAACCUGCCUGUAAGACUGGGAUAACUCCGGGAAACCGGGGCUAAUACCGGAUGCUUGAUUGAACCGCAUGGUUCAAUUAUAAAAGGUGGCUUUUAGCUACCACUUACAGAUGGACCCGCGGCGCAUUAGCUAGUUGGUGAGGUAACGGCUCACCAAGGCGACGAUGCGUAGCCGACCUGAGAGGGUGAUCGGCCACACUGGGACUGAGACACGGCCCAGACUCCUACGGGAGGCAGCAGUAGGGAAUCUUCCGCAAUGGACGAAAGUCUGACGGAGCAACGCCGCGUGAGUGAUGAAGGUUUUCGGAUCGUAAAACUCUGUUGUUAGGGAAGAACAAGUACCGUUCGAACAGGGCGGURCCUUGACGGUACCUAACCAGAAAGCCACGGCUAACUACGUGCCAGCAGC
rnacentral:rRNA from 1 species